CACCAGGCGCGAAACCUCUGCAAUAGGCGAAAGCUUGACAGGGUUACUCUGAGUGACGUCCGUUAAGGACGUCUUUUGGCACCUCUAAAAAUGGUGCAGAAUAAGGGGUGGGCAAGUCUGGUGUCAGCCGCCGCGGUAAUACCAGCACCCCGAGUGGUCGGGACGAUUAUUGGGCCUAAAGCAUCCGUAGCCGGUUCUGCAAGUCUUCCGUUAAAUCCACCUGCUCAACAGAUGGGCCGCGGAGGAUACUACAGGGCUAGGAGGCGGGAGAGGCAAGCGGUACUCAGUGGGUAGGGGUAAAAUCCUCUGAUCCACUGAAGACCACCAGUGGCGAAGGCGGCUUGCCAGAACGCGCUCGACGGUGAGGGAUGAAAGCUGGGGGAGCAAACCGGAUUAGAUACCCGGGUAGUCCCAGCUGUAAACGAUGCAGACUCGGUGAUGGGUUGGCUUCGAGCCAACCCAGUGCCGCAGGGAAGCCGUUAAGUCUGCCGCCUGGGGAGUACGGUCGCAAGAGUGAAACUUAAAGGAAUUGGCGGGGGAGCAC
rnacentral:rRNA from 1 species